UGACAGCAAAGGUGUGGUCAAGUUGAUUCCGUUCUCCGUGGUUCCAUGCCUCAAUAGGAUAUCUUAAACAAAAUCUAUGAUAAAUAGCAAUCAUUGACGGGGAGACAUUUUGUAGCCAAUAAAAUGCUCUUGUUGAAGUCAGAGUUGAAAGUGCUAGAAAAGUGGAGUCUUGAAAGUGCAGCUGUUGUCUUGGCGUGGUUGGGAGAUCAGAUGCUGGCCAUCCUCACAUCGACAUCCCACCUCUGUUUCUGUUUGUAUGCAAAAAUGGAAAUUUGAUCCACCAGACUAGCUUUUCUGUCGAUAACUUUUGA